AUCAACAACAAAUUUCAUCAAUUCGCAGAUUAUCCAAGCUUCCCACUCCUCUCCCAGUUAACAUAAAUCAAAAGGAGGGUCCUGUGUGCCUAUGAUUUUCAUAGAAUCUAUGAUACUUCUUUUGAUGAUGAUCAACAGUUGACUACGUUAAACUUUAAAGCUGCAAAAGAUUGGAGAGUCUUUAUCAGGAACCAUAUCUUUGCUCCGUCACC
rnacentral:lncRNA from 1 species